rnacentral:rRNA from 1 species
UACGUAGGUGGCAAGCGUUAUCCGGAUUUAUUGGGUGUAAAGGGCGUGUAGGCGGGAAUGCAAGUCAGAUGUGAAAACUAUGGGCUCAACCCAUAGCCUGCAUUUGAAACUGUAUUUCUUGAGUGCUGGAGAGGCAAUCGGAAUUCCGUGUGUAGCGGUGAAAUGCGUAGAUAUACGGAGGAACACCAGUGGCGAAGGCGGAUUGCUGGACAGUAACUGACGCUGAGGCGCGAAAGCGUGGGUAGCAAACAGG